CUUCCCGUUGCGGGAGAGCGCGGUUGCCCACAACCGCCGCCGAAGGCGCAAUUCACCCGGAAUCGCUCAGGCAAAAGGACCGCAACAACCGG
rnacentral:ncRNA from 2 species